rnacentral:rRNA from 1 species
AUUGAACGCUGGCGGCACGCCUAACACAUGCAAGUCGAGCGGUAGCAUGAUUAGUAGCAAUACUAAUUGAUGACGAGCGGCGGACGGGUGAGUAAUACGUAGGAAUCUGCCCUCAAGCGGGGGAUAACCAAGGGAAACUUUGGCUAAUACCGCAUAAUCUCGAGAGAGUAAAGCUGCAGCAAUGUGGCACUUGAGGAGGAGCCUGCGUCAGAUUAGCUAGUUGGUGAGGUAAAGGCUCACCAAGGCGAUGAUCUGUAACUAGUCUGAGAGGACGACCAGGCACACUGGGACUGAGACACGGCCCAGACUCCUACGGGAGGCAGCAGUGGGGAAUAUUGGACAAUGGGGGCAACCCUGAUCCAGCGAUGCCGCGUGGGUGAAGAAGGCCUUCGGGUUGUAAAGCCCUUUAGGUCGGGAAGAAGGUUAGUAGAGGAAAUGCUAUUAAUUUGACGGUACCGACAGAAUAAGCACCGGCAAACUCUGUGCCAGCAGCCGCCGUAAGAC